rnacentral:snRNA from 1 species
GUUCCCUUCGGGGGGACACUAUGGGAAAAAACUUUGGGAACGGAUCGGAGAAGAUUAGCAUGGCCCCUGCACAAGGAUGACACGCUUUUCCGGAGUGGUAGACCUACGGGUCUCAAUAUUUAU